AGGAGUAGAAGGAUGGUGGCCCUGGAAAUUGGAAUCUGCUAAGGAGUGUGCAACAACUCACCUGCCAAAUCAACUAGCCCUAAAAAUGGAUGGCGCUAGA
rnacentral:ncRNA from 1 species